CCUACUAUGCCGCAAGUUGACUUCAUCAAGUUACUUAACUUUUUGAGAUUCGAUUUCCCCAUCUAUACAACAGGAAUUUCAGAGGUUAGUGAGGGUCAAAUAAAGGAAUCUUUAUAAAGUGCCCAAGAAAGAGGCUAACAAAUAGUAGAUAUUAAAUAGUGAACUUUUAAAAAGUAGUUCAGUAAUAGAGCAUUAGCUAUACUUUUGAAUAAUAAAAUAGUAUCAGGACAUACUCAUAAGCAAAAAAUAAGCAAUAAAGGAUUUAUAGGAAAAAUACUUAUGUAGAAAUUCAAAGAGGAACUUCCUGUAUUCAGUUUGAGGAUGAAUGCUUUACAGGAUAGCAGGAUAGACAUAUUCUAUCAGGUACUUAUUCAUUCAAUACACAUUUGAGUGCUGUGAUAUGUUCAUAGUAUGGUAGACAACAGGAAUGCUGAAGAGAAUAAACCAGAGAAGCUCAUAGUUUAAUAGAGAAACACCCUGAACAAAAGUGCAAUACAGAGGGACAAUGCUUCGAGGCCCAUGCACUGAGCAACGUGGAGGUAGAGUAAGGAGAGUCCUGGAGCCACUGCUCUGCUUACUGUCCAUCAAGUCUUAUAAUCUUCUGUAAGUGACUAAGAACCCUACAGAGUUGUCUCUAAAGAGCUCUACCUCCCAUCAGUAGCACUAUCACACCACUUGCUCACAUGAGUUCAGCUCUAUAAUGACACAGUUAGAGAGAGAUGGACUGUAAUUGUGUCUUGAGAAUUUAGGAUUUGAUCCUCAUCUGUCUAAAUACAUAAAAAAUGACUUCGUUACAACUAGUUUAUUUUUACACAUACACAUUUAAAAAACAUUUUUAGCAUCAUUAGGCAAUUCAUCCUUGUGUGAACAUCAUAAAAUGCACUUACACAAACCUGGAUGGUAGAGCCUACAACACAUGUAGAAUAUAUGAUAUAAACUAUAGAUCCUAGACUAUAAACAAACCUGUACAGUGUGUUACUGCUACUGAAUACUGUAGACAGUUGUAACACAAUGAUAAGUGUGCAUCUAAACAUAUGUAAACAUGGAAAAGAUACAGUAAAAAAUGCAGUAUAAUUGAUAAGAAAUGGUAAACCAGUAUAGGGCAGGGUACUUACUAUGAAUGGCACUUACAGAACUAGAAGUUGCUCUAGGUGAGUAAGUGGUAAAAGAAUUUGAAGACCUAGGACAUUACUGUACACUACUGUAGACUUUAUAAAUAUCGAACACUGAAUUUAUUUUUCAUCAAUUAUAAAUUAAUCUUGGCUUACUUUAACUUUUUUACUAUACUAUAUAAACUGUACAUAUGUUUUUCAAUUUUUUGACUCUUUAAUCAUACUUAGCAUAAAACACAAACACAUGGUUCUAGACAAGAUGGCAAAGGUGGCCAGUGCACUUACCACUUCUCAUGACCACAUCAAAAUUGCAACUCAAUUAUAGAGCAAUCAACAUGAAUAACCAUCUGAAUUAUAGCUGAGCAGAAGUCAUAUAACUAAGAAGAGACAGAAGAAGCCACCCUGAGACUGGUAGGAGGGGCAGAGACACGAAAGGGGCUGGCCCCCCACACAUGUAUGGCAACUGAGAAUCCUAAGGGAUAUCUCAGCUGCAGAGGUGCCCCCUAGGAGUACAGGAUCUCAACCCUAUGCUGGCCUCCCCAGCCUGGAACACUACUGGCAACAAGAGGAGCCCAUAUAACAUCUGGCUAUAAAACUCAGCAGGGAUUCUACCUGUCUAAGUGAGACAGAAGGCUGCUGAAAACCCAGGUGUUCCCUAAAAGGUCAAGCUCACAAAUACCGUGGGCUCUAGGACAAGGACAGUGGCUGCAGGGGGUGUGAAGAGGAAGGGCCGGAGCCGUACAGGGAGAAACUGAGUUUUGUGGCUUCAGAGCAUAAACUGGAGGAAGAAUUUUCAUCAUCACUGCAUUGAGCCCUCCCCUGACACAGCCAAAUGUGAAUAUGCAACAGUGUGGUGAACUGUACAAGCUUAAUCCUGAUGACUCUUUGAAACCCCACCCCACCAAAAAGGAUUACAUGCCCCAGGGGCAGGGGUGGCAGCUGAGACUGGUGAACCCUGGAACUUUUUCUGAGUAGCCUCAGACCCAACACUGGUGCCAAAGGUGAAAAUGUAUUAACCUGGUGAACAACACUCAUCCAAUCAAUGUGACUCCCUGAGACUCUGCUUUACUCAACUUGAGAAUCUCCUGAGGUACUUGCAGCAAGUGAGCCCUAUGGACAGCCACCAGGUGGAGGCAGGUCUCGAGGCACCUUGGAUGUUUUUUUGACCUGCCUCAGACCCAGCAUCAAUUCACAGCAUGUCCACUACUGCCAUGCGCAUCCAGGCCCAGAGAAGGCAGCUAAUAAUCAUGAAUAACUUUGUAGCUCCUAACAGGUAGUCCUGAGCCAGUUACAGACAGCUCUGACAUUUACCUGCACCAGAGUUCCUCCCAAGUGGCCUCAGAAAAAACUUACCCAGUGGCUGGCUUCAGAGCACAACAAAGAACCACCUGAUUAGCUCCACAAGUGGCACUCAUAGGUACCAGACCUCUUCAGAACAAAUUCUACUCCAUGGAGUCAGGUCUGGCACAGCAGCUAGUAUAUUGUAGUCAUGACCAGUCCUCACAGCCAGCUAUCAUGAGGGUCAAUCCCACCCACUGAUGUGUCAACAGCAAUCAAGGAUCGACUACAACAGGAGGGCACAUACAACCCACAAAAGGGUAACUCCUAAAGAAGCCAGAUGAAGUGAUCAGAGAGAUUGCACUACUGGGCCCAAUAGGACAACUGAUGGAUAAGGCCAACUUGCAAAGACUGGGAGAUGUAGGAGAUCUACCUAAUCAACAGAAACAAACAGAGAGAAGCAGUAAAAAUAGGGGAAAAAGAAUCCUAUCCAAAAUAAAAG